UACGUAGGGUGCAAGCGUUAAUCGGAAUUACUGGGCGUAAAGCGUGCGCAGGCGGUGAUGUAAGACAGAUGUGAAAUCCCCGGGCUCAACCUGGGAACUGCAUUUGUGACUGCAUCGCUGGAGUGCGGCAGAGGGGGAUGGAAUUCCGCGUGUAGCAGUGAAAUGCGUAGAUAUGCGGAGGAACACCGAUGGCGAAGGCAAUCCCCUGGGCCUGCACUGACGCUCAUGCACGAAAGCGUUGGGGAGCAAACAGG
rnacentral:rRNA from 1 species